UUAUCCCCAUCAGUUUUGUUAUUUGGUCUGAUCCAUCUAAAAUCCAUCCUGAGAUACAAAACAAGCAGCAACAGAAGCGCUCAGGCAAACCAUGUCAACCUGCUGGCUAGUGCUGUGAUGUUGUCAAAAGCUCCCUGACAGCAGUUCUGACAUCUGCUCGGAGAAGCAGAGAGACAAGAGGAGGAGAGGAGGAGAGAGUUCAGGUGGAGAGACGAGGAACCGUUUCCUAGCAGCUAAGUAUCUGUGACGGCAGCAGCUUCGUUGUCAUGUUUACAUUUUACAGUCAUGUGACACAGACUCUGCACGCACAGUGGUCAGUUCUCUGUUCAAGUAAGAGACUGCAGAUCGACGUUCAUUGUAGAUCAUCUAUGGAAAGCGAGACACUGGUGACUGCACAACGUGCUUAAGGUCAUGUGGCUGACUGACAUCCUGAGAUGUGAGUAAUGGACAUGCGCACAUUGCAGCUGUGAUGGUCAAACGAUAUAUCAUUCAGCCCUACAGGGAUGUCAGGGAGCUCCUUUCAGCCAGAGUAUACUGAUACUGCGUUCACUGACCAGUUGAUUUGUUGUAUACUGUCAACAGUGUGACUUGACAUUGAGUGUGAAAUAAAUAAAUUCCUUCUUC